rnacentral:rRNA from 1 species
GUCCACACCGUAAACGAUGAUUACUAGAUUUUGGCCUUAUGGUCAGAGUCCAAGCGAAAGUGUUUAGUAAUCCACCUUGGGAGUACGUCCGCAAGGAUGAAACUCAAAGGAAUUGACGGGGGCCCGCACAAGCGGUGGAGCAUGUGGUUUAAUUCGAUGAUACGCGAGGAACCUUACCUGGGCUUGAAAGUUAGUGACCGCUCCUGAAAGGGAGCUUCCCGCAAGGGCACGAAACUAGGUGCUGCAUGGCUGUCGU